rnacentral:lncRNA from 1 species
UCAGUUUAUCAUACAUGUUUCGUUUUGUAUUUCAUUUUAAAUACGAAUACAUACUACAUGUACUUUAGCGAAUAGUUCAACAAUGUUAUGCAGCUCUAUUCUUACUCGUACAGUAUAAAAUUAAAAAAUAAAUGUUCAUCCAUUUAAAAUCGAAAACAGUACAUUUAUAUUUAAAAAAGAAGAUGUGGUAUGAUUGCCCUUCUGAUCCCUUCUGUCCGGUGGGCGUCCGUUUUUUACGGAUGUGUUCUUAAAAAGUGGACAAAUCUUAACUGCGGGAUAAUACCUUGUAUACUAUAAAUACAUAUAUAAAAGAAGAUGUGGUAUGAUUGCCAAUGAGACAACUCUCCACAAGAGAACAAAAUAACACAGAAAUUAACAACUAUAAUAGAUCACCGUACGGCUUUCAAUAAUGAGCAAAGCCCAUACCGCAAAGUCAGCCAUAAAAGGCCCCGAAAUGACAAUGUAAAAUAAUUCAAACGAGAAUUGUUCCUUGUAAACUACGACAUUUCUCACAAGUAUUAAUUUAUUAUUUUGUUCAACACAUGCAAAAGAACUGAAUAAUCUUCGCCGAUGUAACUUUUCAAUUUAUUACAACAACAUGCCUUCACUGAAUUCAUUCAGGUGCACAAAUGAUACGAUUAAAGUUAUUUUGUUUCUAUUUUGGGGGACAAUUU